AUGUUGAUGGCCGCCAGGGUGAAGAUGAAGAAGGGCGCCAGGCACAGCAGGAUGAAGGUCGCCGCGUGCACGUACGCGUUGCCGAACCCCAGACGCCCCGCGUUCCACCCGAACACGCAGCAGCUGCAGAACAGGGACAGGUACGCCAGCGAGAUGUCCUCCCACAGGUCCGCCACCAGCCCGCCGGACCACUCCGGCGAUAACAUACCAUCUUCUUCCGCGCCGACGGCGACGACAACAGCGGCCAUUUCUAGUCCUUGUCGCUGCGGCGGAGAGGGGGAGAAGGAGUACCUCCUCUCCACGGUCUUGUGCUGGAGCCGCUGCCGCGAGCCCGAAGAAGAAGACUCCUGCUCCUCAGCGCGUACUGCGCCAAGCAGUUGA
rnacentral:rRNA from 1 species